rnacentral:misc_RNA from 1 species
AGAUCAUCUAAGGGAAUGGGUUUACGGCGUAGGACAAGUCAGCAUGACGGUAACUCUAUCUAGCAGACUGGAGAUCCCAAGAGCUAGAUUCAAGGAGAAAAACAAAGUUGUGGCUGACGGUUCGACAUUGUCAAUUAACUCAAUCCAUUCUCAUGAUGAAGACAAUGUUCAGGAAAAGGUUAAGACUUUAAGGCUUGUUAAUGAGGUAAUAAAACUUAAAGUUUUUUU